CGGGAAAAGCUCAAAUUUAAAAGCUGGCGGUCUUUGGCCGUCCGCAUUGUAAUCUAGAGAAGUGUUACCCGCGUUGGACCGUGUACAAGUCUCCUGGAAUGGAGCGUCAUAGAGGGUGACAAUCCCGUCUUUGACACGGACUCCCAAGGCUUUGUGGUGCGCUCUCAAA
rnacentral:rRNA from 1 species